CCUGAACGCUGGCGGCGUGGCUAAGACAUGCAAGUCGCACGGUGUAGCAAUACACAGUGGCGAACGGGUGAGUAAUGAAUCGCUAAUGUACCCCGGACUCUGGGAUAGCUACCCGAAAGGGUAGGUAAUACCAGAUGAGACCACGGCAUCGCAUGAUGUUGUGCUCAAAGGUCCGCCGGUCUGGGAGCAGGCGAUUUCGUAUCAGCUAGUUGGUGAGGUAACGGACUCACCAAGGCGACGACGCGUAGCCGGACUGAGAGGUUGGCCGGGCCACAUUGGGACU
rnacentral:rRNA from 1 species